AGAGUUUUCUAGCAGUGUUCUUUAGAAAUAGUGAUCUUACUGGGAUGGAUAAUUGCCAUUUUUGUUUCUCAGUUCUAUCCUUUCCUUCUUUUGGUAAUCAUGGGCCAGUUUUACUUUGCAGAUGUCUUCAGGAAUCUCCUUGCUGGGUGGGCAUUUGAGUUUGUAUCCCUCAUGGGGGUUUACAGUAGCUAAUGUUUUUAAGCACUUAUUUUCCAGGCACUACUUCUGAGUUUUUUCAUUAGUCAACUCAUAUAAUACUUGCACCAUUUUUAUGAGAUAGAAACAAUUUUUAUUCCACUUUUACAGAGGAGGAACCUGAGACAGAACAUGUCCAAAGUUACACAUGCGGUACACAAUAGAGCGGGAAUCUGAACCAGGUAGUCUGCUUCUGACUCUGCAUUAUCUCAGUUAUGGUGGCACAGAACUUAAACUGACAGGGGAGUCAACAGUGUCUUCUCUGUACUCAAGUCUAGAGCAAACCAACAAGAGGGCAGGAAGCAAGGCACCCCAAGAUUCCUGGAAACCCCACAAGGGAGAAUCAUGGAAUGUUUUAAAGCAUCUUUGA
rnacentral:lncRNA from 1 species